ACUACCUAACGCGAUGCAUUCCAGUCAAAUUCAUAAAAUUAACAUCCAAAUUGGGGUCCUUUUUCUCAGGCCUCUUUCUUAUUCAAUUUGCUACUAGCGGACUUUGUAUCUGUGGAUCGAUUUAUUGCCUGGCAUUUGAUGUCGGUGAGCAUAUAUUGGAGCGUCUUAUGUAU